UACGGAGGGGGGCUAGCGUUGUUCGGAAUUACUGGGCGUAAAGCGCACGUAGGCGGCUUUGUAAGUUAGAGGUGAAAGCCCGGGGCUCAACUCCGGAAUUGCCUUUAAGACUGCAUCGCUAGAAUUGUGGAGAGGUAAGUGGAAUUCCAGGUGUAGCGGUGAAAUGCGUAGAUAUCUGGAGGAAUACCGGUGGCGAAGGCGGCAUCCUGGACCGACAUUGACGCUGAGGAGCGAAAGCUAGGGGAGCAAACGGG
rnacentral:rRNA from 1 species